rnacentral:rRNA from 1 species
CAAUAGCGUAUAUUAAAGUUGUUGCAGUUAAAAGCUCGUAGUUGGAUUUCUGUUCUCGAGGAUCGGUCCGCCUCACGGUGAGCACUGGUUUUUCUUGGGGACAUCCUCUCGAAGGCGGGUGGUGCACUUAAUUGUGUGCUGCUUGGAUUCGGGACCUUUACUUUGAAAAAUUAGAGUGUUCAAAGCAGGCCUAUGCUCUGAAUAGGUUAGCAUGGAAUAAUAAAAUAGGACUUUGGUUCUAUUUUGUUGGUUUCUAGGACCGAAGUAAUGAUUAAUAGGGACAGUUGGGGGCAUUCAUAUUCCAAUGUCAGAGGUGAAAUUCUUGGAUUAUCGGAAGAUGAACUUCUGCGAAAGCAUCUGCCAAGGAUGUUUUCAUUGAUCAAGAACGAAAGUUAGGGGAUCGAAGAUGAUCAGAUACCGU